GGGCCGUUAGCUCAGUUGGUAGAGCAGCAGACUUUUAAUCUGCGGGUCACAGGUUCGACUCCUGUACGGCUCACCA
rnacentral:tRNA from 1 species